rnacentral:lncRNA from 1 species
UGCAAGCAUUUUUGUUCGGCCCUUUAAGCUUCUAGGCCUCGAUUUGCAACAAGACCCGGAAGGUACAAAGGGUCCAACGAAAAAGCCUAUCACAAAAAGCCCAAACGUUUCUUUGCUUUACAGCUGACGCCUGAGGAAGAAGGAUCGACUGAGCAAGAAGGCAGUGCACCUGCAUAUCCUUGGUGGGAGCAUCACGGAAACAAAUACGCAGAGUAUCACGCGUCCCUUCUUCUUCAACUGCCUCUAACCAGCAGCAUCAACGUCCAAAGCGUCCUUCACCACUCUACAAGACGGUAUAAAAGUUCUUGCUCGAAGGGAGACCGGUGUAACUAUGCGCAUAGUGAUGGCGAGAUUCGCAUGCCACCCGAGUACUCCUCAAAGUGCAAGUUUGGAAGCCUUUGUCCGUAUGCCGCCCGCUCUAAAUGCUUUUACAGUCAUGAUUAGAGAUUAGGAUUUUCUUUACUUUGAGGCUUAAAACAUGGAUUUUGAGGAAUAAAAGUAACUUCUAGUGGCUUGCUAACUACUUGGUACUUGAACUUGUAAUGGGAAUCCCUGGAUUUUACGUAUUCUAAUGAAUAAAUGUAUAUUUAUCUAUCUAUGUGCAUCGUUUCAUCGUCUUAUUGA